AAAAAUCCUUAUUGUUAGGAUGUUGCUGAGUAUCUGUGGUUUGCUUCCUAGAUGAAAGAGCAUGAACUCAUAUCAGCCUGCAGGAGCCAUACAAACUCACUGACAAGUCCAGCAUCUCAGACUGGACUAAGACUCCAUGGAAGGAGAUCAACGUAGAACAGAUGGAUAUGGAGCUUAGAAGGUUUGCUAAGGAGAUGAAGACUUUGGACAAAGAGGUGUGUGCGUGGGACGUCUACAACGGUUUGGAAUCCAUCGGUGAGUUUUGUGAUGGAUGAGAACACCACACUUUGUGAUCUCUUAGAGCUGCAGCUCCACCGUGUGGAGGAGGAAGUAAAGAACAUUGUGGACAAAGCAGUCAAAGAGAUGGGAAUUGUGUAGGUACAGCAAGCAGAUUGAAAGCAUUUCUGAGAAACUCUUUGAGGCAUUACAGGUCCCACUAAAAUGUAUCUGUUGUGUGUGCAGAUUCUGGGUG
ensembl:lncRNA